CCUAUCUCUGCUGUGUGCACUGCUGGUAUUGAAUCACGGUUUUUAGAGUCAUAAACCCUCAAGGGUCAGAGAAUCUGACGUCAUGAAUUGCUUAGUCCUGAGUUUUAUUUUGGGAGCUCUCCUCCUGGCGGAAACAGUCGUUGUCACGCCUUACUCCCUUGAUGAGGAGAACAAGCUGGAGUCAUACAGAGAACGGCUUCAGGACGUCUUGCCCUAUGCAGACAAGAGAAGCUGCAUCCCCAGAAGUGGUAGCUGCGACAACCGCCCCCAUUCCUGUUGUGGAGGGUCCUCUUGCCGAUGUAACCUUUGGGGCACUAACUGUCGCUGCCAAAGACAAGGACUCUUUCAAGGAUGGGGCAAAUAAUUUCUUUUGCUACUUCUGAUGUUUCUGGUAGCGCCCCCUGGCUGGAGCUGCCUGAACUCACAGUUUUACUUGUUGUUUUCCCGAAGCCUAAGCAGCAGUUUUGUACGUUAGUGAUCGUAAUGCUUAAUUGUUUUUAUUUCCAGAUUAGCACUUAGCAGUGUAUUGAUCCUAGCCCUACUAGUUCCCAAAGUUUCUAAUUCGUAUUUACUAAUAUUUUACGAUUAAAAAAUAAAAUACAAAGCUCCGAGUAAUCAGAGAAGGGAGGGUUAUAUUAAACUACAAGUCCGAAUGGUUAUAUUGUUAUUUCUUGAUCAUUACAAGUUAACAAAAUAUUAGUCAUUUACGAGACUUCAAAAAUAAAUUCGUCUAAUAAAAACCUUCAGUGUUUCUUAUCAUGUUUUACAUUCUACCCAGAUGAUGUUGAAUAGGACAAAAUAACGAUUUUUAAAAAAUAAAACAAUUUAGGAUAUGUACUCAACGUUUCCGGUUUGUGUCUCAAUAAAAA